GAAUUGACGGGCCCGCACAAGCAGCGGAGCGUGUGGUUUAAUUCGAUGUUACACGAAGAACCUUACCAGGGUUUGACAUGCAAGUGGUAGGAAGCCGAAAGGUGACCGACCUUCGGGAGCUUGCACAGGUGCUGCAUGGCUGCCGUCAGCUCGUGUCGUGAGAUGUUCGGUUAAGUCCGCUAACGAGCGCAACCCUCGCUGUGUGUUAUAUGUGUCACACGGGACUGCCGGUCUUAAGCCGGAGGAAGGUGGGGAUGAUGUCAAGUCAGCAUGGCCUUUAUAUCCUGGGCUACACACACGCUACAAUGGCCAACACAAUAGGUUGCUAAGCCGCGAGGUGGCGCCAAUCCAUAAAGUUGGUCUCAGUUCAGAUUGUAGGCUGCAACCCGCCUGCAUGAAGAUGGAGUUGCUAGUAACCGCAGGUCAGCUAUACUGCGGUGAAUACGUUCCCGGGGCUU
rnacentral:rRNA from 1 species